rnacentral:rRNA from 1 species
CCUACGGGAGGCAGCAGUGGGGAAUAUUGGGCAAUGGGCGCAAGCCUGACCCAGCAACGCCGCGUGAAGGAAGAAGGCUUUCGGGUUGUAAACUUCUUUUAAGAGGGAAGAGCAGAAGACGGUACCUCUUGAAUAAGCCACGGCUAACUACGUGCCAGCAGCCGCGGUAAUACGUAGGUGGCAAGCGUUGUCCGGAUUUACUGGGUGUAAAGGGCGUGCAGCCGGGAAGACAAGUCAGAUGUGAAAUCCCGGGGCUCAACCGCGGAACUGCAUUUGAAACUGUUUUUCUUGAGUACCGGAGAGGUCAUCGGAAUGCCUGGUGUAGCGGUGAAAUGCGAAGAUAUAAGGAAGAACACCAGUGGCGAAGGCGGAAGGCUGGACGGCAACUGACGGUGAGGCGCGAAAGCGUGGGGAGCAAACAGGAUUAGAUACACGGGUAGUC